rnacentral:rRNA from 1 species
GACGGAGGGUGCUAGCGUUGUUCGGAAUCACUGGGCGUAAAGGGCUCGUAGGCGGCCAACUAAGUCAGACGUGAAAUCCCUCGGCUUAACCGGGGAACUGCGUCUGAUACUGGAUGGCUUGAAUCCGGGAGAGGAAUGCGGAAUUCCAGGUGUAGCGGUGAAAUGCGUAGAUAUCUGGAGGAACACCGGUGGCGAAGGCGGCAUCCUGGACCGGCAUUGACGCUGAGGAGCGAAAGCCAGGGGAGCAAACGGG